GAUGAACGCUAGCUACAGGCUUAACACAUGCAAGUCGAGGGGCAGCAUGAAUUUACUUCGGUAAAUUUGGUGGCGACCGGCGCACGGGUGCGUAACGCGUAUCCAACCUUCCCGUUACUCCGGGAUAGCCUUCCGAAAGGGAGAUUAAUACCGGAUGGUGUUUGAAGUCCGCAUGAAAUUCAAACUAAAGAUUUAUCGGUAACGGAUGGGGAUGCGUACCAUUAGAUAGUAGGCGGGGUAACGGCCCACCUAGUCGACGAUGGUUAGGGGUUCUGAGAGGAAGGUCCCCCACACUGGAACUGAGACACGGUCCAGACUCCUACGGGAGGCAGCAGUGAGGAAUAUUGGUCAAUGGCCGUAAGGCUGAACCAGCCAAGUAGCGUGAAGGAUGAAGGUUCUAUGGAUUGUAAACUUCUUUUAUACGGGAAUAACACCAUCUACGUGUAGAUGUCUGCAUGUACCGUAUGAAUAAGCAUCGGCUAACUCCGUG
rnacentral:rRNA from 1 species